AACAACAGGCACGGACGGGGUUCGAACCCGCGAUCUUCGGUUUACGAGACCGACGCCUUACCACUUGGCCACCGCGCCUGCCAUCGAAAUCCGUCGACAUUUUUGUAAUCGUACUGUAUACACAUUCCGGACAAUUAUUUAAGAUUUAUUAUGGUGUUCUGAGGAAUCCAAUGUUUGUACUAAGUGUUUUUACAUUUAAAAUUUGGAAGUUACUAGAUUACUCAGGAAAACUGGCAUUUUUCCGCUGAAAUAACGACUCACAUAAUUGUUGAAUUCCACAAUCAUUUAAUGCUUUGUUUGAUUUAUAUUAUUAUUAUUAUAAGUAUUGUUUUCUUUAUUUGCUAAACGGAUAAAUAUAUUUUUGCGGGUUUUUUUUCUCCAAAGAUUCGACACGAUGACGGAGAUGAGACCCGGAAGUAGAUGAAUCCCUGCGGCUUGGAUUACAGUCUUUUGGCCGGAACAUAAACUGCAAUUAUUUUAAAAAUGUGAUGACUGUCGCACGAGCGCAAGGACGCGCGUGAGAUGCUGGAGGGUUCGUGCUUUUAAAGCCUCUGUGGGAGCCAGGUCCCUUUACACGGGGUUUCCCGGAGUCUGUCUGCGAUGGCGAGCUGCUUGGAAGCAAAAGAACCUGCCACCACUCCCACAGAGCGGCCGUAGGGGGUCUGUGCAGCGUAGCCCCCGCUCUGCCUCAGCAUGCCGCUCGUGGUGGAUGCCGUGUGGGCGCUGUGGAGCAUUGGCGCCGGGGUCUACGACUACUUCCACACCAGCGCCAUGGAGGAGAGGAUACACACUCUGGAGAACGUCCUCUCCAUCCACCAGUUUGUCAUCGCAGGCCUGUCGGCCGGCCUCAUCCUGCUCAUGACCUACAUCCUCUGGAGGAAACACUGAAACCACACAUCAGUCUGAUCCUUCAGGAUCCAAAUGAUCCGAGAGGAGCCGACAGCUCCAGAGACCAGGAGCUUUGCUAACACUUCCAGAAAAGCGUCUGUUUUAAAUGUCAGACUUCAACCCAAACGGGGGUCACUCUGAAAAACUUUGAGACAUUUGUCUGGUGUGUUAACACAUGAAGCAAUGAUAACUGUUCUGAAGAACAAAACAAGAUUUCCAAACCACACAUGCAUCUCUGAAGAGAUAAAAGGAGUUUUCUUUUGCUCAUUUGAUGCUUUUUUUAAACAUAAUCGACAAAUAGGUGCUUAUAAUCUAAAAAAACUGGUUUAUUAUAAUUAAUGGUUUUUAUUUUCUUUAAAAACUGACACUAAAACAUGAGUUUUUACUAAAACCUAAUGGAUCAACAGCGAGAUACUAUGAAACGUUAAAAUCCAGUUUUCUAAUCCACAUUAAAACUACAAUUCCCAGAACCCCUCAGCGUCUCUAGUGUUACCAAAAGCCCCAAAUGUCUGCAGAAACUAGAAGGAGUUCAUUCAGUGGUGAGGGAGAUGCUCCGGUUUAGAACUGUCGUCUGGAGGACACGUUUGCAGCGCUGGUUGUCAGGAGGUUGGAUGUGUUGGAUGUGUUGGAUGCUGGAACAGCACAAGCAGAGCUUCUUUAUCAGGGUUUCAUCAGGUUUGCCAUAAUGUGUCAGAAUACUGAGAUAAGGACGUGGGAAAGAAGUUCAUCUGAAUUCUGCUUCUGUGUGGGUUAUCCAACCUGAACUAACACGCAAACAAAUGCUUUAAACACUGGAAGCAGCUCAUGCUGCGACUCGUUUAUUUAUUGUUCUGUUUAAAUGUUAGUCAGUGUCUACAUCUCUCGUGACGUUCUGCUGAACCUGAGUUUGUCAUUUCUUCAUGUUUGCCGAUGCAGAUCUGACUCUGAACUGUGGCUUCUAUUAAAGGGAAAAUUAUUUAACACAAUUCUGUGAUUUACUGAUGGGAGUUUGCAUUAAACAUUUAAGAAAUGUUAUAAUUGUAGCUAAAAAAAAGAGAGUAUCAGAGAAGUCAACAUUAAUAUUAAUACGGUGGGUGGUCAUUAAACGCAGAGUUAGUUUAAAAACCGAGAUCUCAACUCUAAGUUCAUUUGUAAUGUAUCACCAUGGAAGAAGCUGUUAUACUUUUAAUGAUUAAAAACUAUUUUUUUAGUAUGAUUAAGCAUUGGGGAAGUAUUCAGAAACAACUGUCUAAUUUAAAUAAAAAAUAAAAGUAACUUGCAGUUUAACAACAGGAGGUCAAAGAAAAUCAAUGUUCUUUUCCUGCUAAAGUUUAAGAAAUAAUUACUGCUUUUUGAAAAUAAUCAAGGGGUUGGUCGAGGUAAAAUAGGCGUGGUUUUUCUAAACCUUUUUUUUCUGAAAACCAUAAGAUGUAGUUUUAACCAUAAAUUGUAUUUUUUUUUUCAUUAUUGAUUGUACAUGAUAAAGCACGGCUCAAUUCUAAGUAAAUUAACAAAAAAUAAUUAGUAAUUGCAGCCAGAAUGAAUGAAUACAGAACAACAGAUAAUGUUAAAACAAAAAGAAUCACACAUUUAGAAGAGUAAGCUUUAUUACUAUUAAUAUUAUUAAUUAUACGUUUUAUCUUAAAUAACUUUUAACUUUAUUUUUUUAAAGUUACAUCUAUUUCUAUUAACACAUUACAAAAUAUUGUACUCUAUUUUUAUUUUGAAACGACCACGUGUUCCUACAUGGGCUUCCGCUGCAGUGGGCAAAACGGACCCCCCCCCCCCCCCCUCCUAUAUAAUAGGCAAGCCAAUCAGCGUUCAGAACUCACCUAUGACGCGUUGUAAUUGGCCCACGCUGUGAGAAGGCGGAAUCUUUCAAUAGCAGUCAUCACGCAAGCCGCUUCUGUGUGCUUUUAUAAAACUAUUGAAGAAGAAGUCAAAGAAGCGGAACUUAGACAGGCAAGUUCUUCAAAAUAAAGCCUGACUCAAUAAAAUGGAAAACAUGUAAAAGUCCAUCUAUAGUUAAUGUUCAACUUGUUUUCUUAAUUAAACGUCAUUUUCUAAUAUUUUAGAUCGCAUCAAAGCCGUACGUAACUUGAAAUUUAAGAUAAUUUUAGAAUUUACAACUUGAGAACUUUUAUUUUGAAAAUACCAACCAGAUGUGGACUGCUAAACUUGGCUAGUCCGUGUUGACUCUUAGCUACGCUGACGUUAGGUCAGAAAAAUCGUUGAUUUGAAUGAAUAAUUUCCGCAAACGCCGCUGGUCGUUUUAACAGGUAUAAUUUGACGCGCAGUCGCUGCAUUUAAGUGAGUUUUUUAUUCCGGCAGAUGUCGACCACGCUAGCGUGUGGCUACGGAAGUUAGCAUCCUGCUAGCUUAACGCGUCCGCUUGCCAGAGGCUCUUCUCUUGUUUCGCGCAUUUCGAGUUUGUUCACAGAAUUCUCAGCUGUGAACCCGGUUCUGCUGUUCUUUAAACGAACCCGUCGGGUUGUUGCUUCCGCCCUGACGGUCCGGUUCUGUCUGCGGGAUGGGGCAGUGAGCCGCGGCGGCCGGUUUGCCCUUUUGUUUUGACAAAGGAAGCUCGAUUAUUUUCGUCUCGUUUCCGAGUCUCCCCCAGCCUCUCUUCGGGGGU
ensembl:lncRNA